rnacentral:rRNA from 1 species
GACGAACGCUGGCGGCGUGCCUAAUACAUGCAAGUAGAACGCUGAAGAGAGGAGCUUACUCUUCUUGGAUGAGUUGCGAACGGGUGAGUAACGCGUAGGUAACCUGCCUUGUAGCGGGGGAUAACUAUUGGAAACGAUAGCUAAUACCGCAUAACAAUGGAUGACACAUGUCAUUUAUUUGAAAGGGGCAAUUGCUCCACUACAAGAUGGACCUGCGUUGUAUUAGCUAGUAGGUGAGGUAAUGGCUCACCUAGGCGACGAUACAUAGCCGACCUGAGAGGGUGAUCGGCCACACUGGGACUGAGACACGGCCCAGACUCCUACGGGAGGCAGCAGUAGGGAAUCUUCGGCAAUGGGGGCAACCCUGACCGAGCAACGCCGCGUGAGUGAAGAUGGUUUUCGGAUCGUAAAGCUCUGUUGUAAGUCAAGAACGGGUGUGAGAGUGGAAAGUUCACACUGUGACGGUAGCUUACCAGAAAGGGACGGCUAACUACGUG